rnacentral:rRNA from 1 species
UACGGAGGAUGCAAGCGUUAUCCGGAAUCAUUGGGCGUAAAGGGUCCUGAGGUGGUUUGCUAAGUCUACUGUGAAAGAUCAGGGCUCAACCCUGAAGAUGCGGUGGAAACUGGCAGGCUAGAAUACGGUAGGGGCAGGGGGAAUUCCCGGUGUAGCGGUGAAAUGCAUAGAUAUCGGGAAGAACACCAAAGGCGAAGGCACCCUGCUGGGCCGAUAUUGACACUGACAGACGAAAGCUAGGGGAGCAAACAGG